AUUUAGUCAGAAGGAGAACCAUCCAUCACAGCACUAUUAACGAGGGGGGUUGGGGGGAGGCAGAAAUAAUCCAAGCUUCCAAAAAACAGUGAUUUUUUUGAAAUGGUACCUUUAUAGAAUAAAACACUAGAUAGACAUUAAAAAUUAUGUUACAGGCAUGUUUAUUGCCACAUUAACAUUCAUGAUGUGUUAAUCGAAAAAAAUCAAAGUACAGUAUGAUCUCACUUUUGCAAGAAAUAAAAAUACAUAUAUCUGUGAUUUUAAAAAUUGGGGGAAGUUACAUGCCAAAUACAAACAGAAUAUGUCAUUUGGUAGUAGGAUUAUGAAUGAGUUCUCCUUAAGUCCUUAUAUGUAUCAGUAUUUUUAAUUUUUUUCCUCUAAGAAAUACAUAUUAAUUGUGUUUUUUGGUUUUUGGUUUUUGUUUUUUUUUUUAGUUAAAAGGAAAAAUGUAUCCUGGGCCUGCUGCUCAAACAUGCACUCUGCCAGCAACAUGCUGUAACUUUAGAAGGAAAAUGAGAUGAAGACUCCAGAGAGACUCUGGAAGGCUAAUAAUAACAGUUAAGUUUUUAUAGUAUUUUAUUUUGGGGUGAAAAUUCUCAAGAGGAUAUGACUUGAAAUUGUUCCAAUGAUACACAUGUGUUCAAGUAUAAAGGUCCUAUGUCUCUAGCUCUAACAAGAGAAAGGAUCCAUAUUGCCAUUGUAACUAUCUUUUGUGAGGAAGCUCAUAAAGAACACCCAUGUAUUUCAUUAUUAUAGUUAAUCAUUGUACUAUUCUUUAAAACAUGGGCUACUCCUUGAAUACUUUUUUUGUGUGUGUGUUUUAAUUCUUGAGAAUUUUAAAGAAUAACCCAUUGCAUUUGCACAGGUUGGGGCAAAUUGUGGGCAGUCCAUAUGGUCCACUAAGGUUUGUCUGUUUCCCAGACACUAUGCUGGGUCCUGGGGAAUAUGGAACUGAAGACGUGUAUUCUUCCCUCGACGUGUUGGUAGGGGACGUGGACCAGUGAACUGACGUCUGUGGCUGAUAAUAGUGGGCAUGCUGUGGCCGGAGUUCUGUGAGCCACAGAAGGGCAUGCCAUCCAGACUCGAGACAUGAGUGGUCAGGAGACACUUCCCCAGAGCAGGUGACAUCUGAGCUGUAUGUUGAAGGAUGUGUGGAAAUUAGCCAAAGAAAAGGAGAAGGGCCUUCUAAGCAUCAGCUCAGAGAAGUAGAAGGGAGCACACCCAGGGACUGGAAAAAGCGAAAUCUGUUGAUCAGUGCUAUCUAGAUGGAAAAGUUCCAUACCUCUGCUGUCCAAAACAGGAGCCACAAGAUAACAUGUGGCUACUGAACAAGAGAACUGAAUUUUAAUUUUCUUUUUUUAAUUUAAAUAGCCGCAUGUGGCUACUGUAUUUUUUACAUCACUUUAUUGAGGCAUGCUUUGAUGUGAUUUAAUGUGGGGUCCUGGAGCAAAUGGUCAAAAAAGAACUCUUGAGAUAUUUUCGGUACAAAAAAGGUGGUUUUUUUAAGGCACAGGGAUAGGAACCAAGGGCAGAAAUAGCUGCUAGUUUUCUGGUGGGGUAGAGACAAAGAAGUUCCCAAAAGAUUUUCAUGGGUUAGAGAGGCCUUACAGGAUCCUGGAGACCUGGCUAUCAUCAAGCUAAGAUUGCUUUUUGCCUUUAGAAAAGCAUUAAGACAGUUGGGAGUUCCUGGAGGAAUGUCCUACUCUGCCUGUCCCAAGUAUUUGUCGAUGGGCUGCAAGUUUUAAGGAAAUUUAAUUUUACUACGUUUCCUUUUGCCUUUGUUCUCCACAUCAUGAUUAACAUACCAAAAAAUUGUACAGAAUCAAUACAACUUGAUAAGUUUGGAGGUAAGUAUAUACCUGUGAAAUCAUCACCACCAUCUAUGCCCUAAACACCUCCAUCGCCUCCAAGGGUUUGCUCCUGCCGUCUUAUUUAUUAUUAUUCUAGGUGUGUGAUAAGAACACUUCACGGAAGAUCUACUCUGGCUACAGUAUUGAACAGCACAACAGCGGUGAGAUCUGCUGCUAGAUCUUUUUCGUCAUUUUUUUCUGGUAUCUGAUUCAGAGCACUCAUGAAUCUUGGACUACAUUCAGCUAUAAUCAUGGGUGAUUCUCCAAGCGAAGGGGCUAAACACUGGCAAACGAAAAGCAGAUUUGUCCACUGCAUUCCUACCCUAAUGGAUGCUGAGAUAAUGGAUGCUCUACAAUCACCCACAAAUUUCCUGGUACUGCUGCUGUUACUGCAAAAUGAUGGCUCCUUCAAAGUAUCAUCUCUUGCCCCUGCCAGAGAAAGCCAGCCUUUAAAAGAAACUAAAUCCAAGGUCACUCACUUCCACAUAAAGAGAAUAUUUUGUCAGCUGCCAAAAUUCAUUUAUCUAAUGUACUCUUACCCAAUAACUUAAGCCUGGUGUGCUGGGCAGAGUCCAACUUGGGUAAUUCCAUUCUCCCAACCAAAUUCCCCCAAGGAGUUUGAACGAGAGAGGACAUUAUUCUUCACUUCUUCAACUCUCCUAUUAUUAAUCAAAAGAAUGCUUUUCAUCCCCAAAGCAUGAUGGGGAUAUGAGGAUAGAAUUUUUAAAAAGGGAUUAUUCUUAAGAAUUGAGUAAUGAGAGAUUCCAUUAUAUAAACUUAGUAAAGUUCUUUGGAAGUAGAGCCUAGAUCCAUUUGUGAAACAAAUAGUUAUUAAAGUAUAUGCCAAGUACUGUUCUCAACACUGCAGAUGGAGCAGGACACAGAAGUAGUUUCUGCUUUCAAGAGGUAGAAAUUAGAAUAAGUUGAUGAGUUUGGAGAGAGGGCCAGAAAUCAGACCAGUUAAGUACUGAUAUGGAGUUUGGAUAUUAUUGUAGGCGCAGCUGGAGAGUAUUGGUGGAGCAAUAUGAUUGAUCAGAUUUUGAGGUCUUUUUAAUAAGACCAUCCCUUCAUGGAUAUCUAUGGGCCAGGGUCCUAGCCUUCUGCUACUUUCCACGGAAUUGAAUCAUUUCAGGAUCAACACAACUGUGGCUGUAAUUUCCUCCCCACAAGCCUUCAAACAGCAUUGAAUCUUGGUUAGCUCAGAGCGCCAAGGAGGCCAAAGCCAUGGUUUGGCCAUACGGCCAUCAGCAUGGCACUGCUCCAUGACAAACCGUACCCCUUCUUCCUCUGUAGCUGGCUGUACUUCAUAGGCUCCCUUUGGUCUCACAGGACACCAGACAAGAAGGUAAAUGAGGAAGAAUUAGUUCAUCUCCACUGCUCCAAGAGCUGCCUAUGACCUGCUGAAGGUAGUUCGGUGGCAAUAUCAAAGAGCGGAAGCAUCUCUACAUAUACGUGACCUAUUGAAUGAUGGUGUUCUUGGAAAGAGCAUUACCACUGACAAAGAACCACUGAAAACUUUCUAUUUAUUGCCCAUCCUGUGAGCAGUGACAAAUAUAAAUAAGAAAAUCAUAACAUCUGAAAAUAAAAGGGGACAUUAGUGGUCAUGAAGUCCAACCUCUCUCCUAAUGUAAGAUUCUUCUAUGCAGACCUGACAAGGAGUCUUCCAGUGUUCUAUACCCUUCCUAUAUCAGAUGGGGUCAGAUGAAUAGCAAUUUAAUUGCGUGUUGUUUUGUUGGUGAGGAAAGAUCAUUAACUGUGGUACCUUUUGCCCAAAGUUGUGGUCUGAAGGGUCAAAGGACAGAUAGAGAAAGUUACAUCUGAAUGAGAAGUUAAGGUUAAGACCUGGAAAAAGAGGACCAAAUAAGUUUUCCAGUCUCAAGUGCAAGAGGGAGAAUAAAGAAUAUGGAACCAAACAAGAAGAUACCCAGGAUGCUGAUGAAUGAGAAAUGUGGAGCAGGUGGAUUAGAGAAACUUUCUGAAUGGUAUCUUAAGAGUUUUGAGACCAUAUCAGAAGCAGCCAAGAGGUCCUUCGUCAAAAAUUUUGGACUCUCUGAUGAGAAUCUACUCCCUUUCUACUAUUCCUCAAUGAAUUCUCCCACUUAGUGUUAUGCGUUGAAUUAUGUCCCCCAAAAAAGAUAUGUUGAAACCCUAAUCCCCAGUACCUCAGGAUGUAACCUUUUUCAGAAAUAGGGUGUUUAUAGAGGUAAUCAAGUUAAAAGGAGAUCAUAAUCCAAUAAUAAUGAUAUCUUCAUCUCCAAUAAAGAGGAGAAAUUUAGACACAGAAAUAGACACCCCAUGGGAAUAAUGCCAUAUGAACAUGAAAGCAGAGAUGGGGUGAUGCAUCUGCAAACCAAUGAACACCAAAGAUUGGGAGCAAACUCCCAGAAGCUAAGAGAGAGGCAUGGAACAAAUUCUUCCUCCCAGACUUCAGAGGGAACCUAUCCUGCUGGCAUCUUGACCUUGGACCUCUAGACUCUGGAACUCUGCUGUGGUUGGGAAGAGGAAGAGAUCUUCAGGCUCAAGAGGCAGAAAGGGCAUGAUGGUUUCAAGAGCAAGAAGCUGGAGGGGUGGGUAAGAAGUGAAGGUUUUCCAGCCCCAUCCUGUCCCACAGGAGAAUCUUCCCUAGAAGGGAGCCCUCAGGCCCUGGGUAUGCUCUCACAUAGUUCCUGGAGGGAACUGCUGAGGGACAUGGAACCCAAUGACCGCAUCAGUUGCCAUUUGCAUGUAGAAGGAACCAUCCCAAUGUAACAUGGCAGAAGACAUAAGAGGGUGGCAGGAGGGGAGCCUGAGGACAAGGCAACAUGACUAAGUGCGAACACAGCACGAAGCCGGGCUCCUCUGAGCAGCUGGAAAGAGGGCUCUCACCUCAUCUCUGGGAAGAGACGGAGGCCAGCCUGACAAAGAGAACGAGAAAACUGCCAGGGGUUAGGUGAGAUACCUUUUAUAUUCAUCCAGAAUUGCUGACCAUAUCAAAAUUCAAAAGAACUUCCUGAGGAUCACAGGAUCAACCUCUGCAUAACCAGCCUCUGAAACUCCAGGAUUCUCAUGAGCCCUUCUCUACUGGCAAAAACACUAGCUAACACUCACUGAGCAUUUACGAUGUGCCAGACACCAUUCUAAAUACAUUUAUGUAUAAAUGCAUAGAGUAAUUUAUUCAUUCAGCAAAUAUUUAUUGAGUGACCACUAUU